AGUGAACGCUGGCGGUAGGCCUAACACAUACAAGUCGAACGGCAGCACAGUAAGAGCUUGCUCUUACGGGUGGCGAGUGGCGGACGGGUGAGGAAUACAUCGGAAUCUACUUUUUCGUGGGGGAUAACGUAGGGAAACUUACGCUAAUACCGCAUACGACCUACGGGUGAAAGCAGGGGAUCUUCGGACCUUGCGCGAUUGAAUGAGCCGAUGUCGGAUUAGCUAGUUGGCGGGGUAAAGGCCCACCAAGGCGACGAUCCGUAGCUGGUCUGAGAGGAUGAGGAGGCACACUGGAAGUGAGAAAGGGGAAAGGGACCAACGGGAGGCAGCAGUGGGGAAUAUGGUAAAGUGGGCACAAGUGUUAUGCAGCCAUGCCGAGGGUAUGAAAAAGGCGUGCGGGUUGCAAAGGACGUUCAGCGGGGAGAAAGAGAAUAAGCUUAAUACCACUACUUACUGACGGGACCCGAAGAAGAAGCACCCGCUAACUCAGUC
rnacentral:rRNA from 1 species